UGGGGAAUAUUACACAAUGGGCGCAAGCCUGAUGCAGCAACGCCGCGUGAGGGACGACGGCCUUCGGGUUGUAAACCUCUUUUAGUAGGGAAGAAGCGAAAGUGACGGUACCUGCAGAAAAAAGCACCGGCUAACUACGUGCCAGCAGCCGCGGUAAUACGUAGGGUGCGAGCGUUGUCCGGAAUUAUUGGGCGUAAAGAGCUCGUAGGCGGUCUGUCGCGUCUGCUGUGAAAACCCCGAGGCUCAACCUCGGGCCUGCAGUGGGUACGGGCAGACUAGAGUGCGGUAGGGGAGAAUGGAAUUCCUGGUGUAGCGGUGGAAUGCGCAGAUAUCAGGAGGACACCGAUGGCGAAGGCAGUUCUCUGGGCCGUAACUGACGCUGAGGAGCGAAAGCGUGGGGAGCGAACAGGAUUAGAUNCCCUGGUAGUCCACGCCGUAAACGUUGGGCGCUAGAUGUGGGGCACCAUUCCACGGUUUCCGUGUCGCAGCUAACGCAUUAA
rnacentral:rRNA from 1 species